rnacentral:sRNA from 1 species
GCUUAUUAUCCUUAGCAUAAUGUCCUCAGGGUUCAUCUGUGUUGUAACGUGACCAGAUUUCACUCCUUUUAAGGUUGAAUUAUUUGCUGGUUUUUUUAAAAAUUUUGAAUUUUAGUUGGUGAAUAUGUGGAGUUUUGUUAUAUUAUUGUUCGCACCUUUUAUACUUCAGAAAUUUUCUUUCCAAAGGAAUUGGUUGAUAUAACAGAAGAUUAUAAGGGAAAGCUUACUAUCCUGAUUCAGAUGAUUUACUGUAGUUUAUUUUCCAAUUCAGUGUGACCGCAACAAGGGAAAACAUGGCUUACACUGUGGAAUGCCUGCGGGGUGAUGUGUAAGUACCUGUGUGUGUUUAGGACUUCUGCUUUGAAAGAAAUACUAACCUGCUCACUUCUGGUCUUUGUAAUGCAUCAUUAUGACCUCUGACUUCCAUUUUGGAUUAUUGUUCAUAAACUGCUCAAAAACACUGUGCUUACCACAAGACGUAAAGUUUCACAUUGAGAGCAUUACAGCUAUGUAGAAUCUCAAAUGUUGGCUUUACAUUUUUGACUCGUAAUUCUUAUCUCGAUGUCUUCUGUAGUGAUAUUCUAAUGGAGUUCCUGCUCAAUGUCACCACAGCACCAGAAUUUCGUCGUUGGGAAGUAGCUAACCUUCAGCCUCAGCUAAAGAUUGACAAAGCUGUGGCCUUUCAGAAUCCGCAGACUCAUGUCAUUGAAAAUUUGCAUGCAGCAGCUUACCGGAAUGCCUUGGCUAAUCCCUUGUAUUGUCCUGACUAUAGGAUUGGAAAAGUGACAUCAGAGGAGUUACAUUACUUCGUUCAGAACCAUUUCACAAGUGCAAGAAUGGCUUUGAUUGGACUUGGUGUGAGUCAUCCUGUUCUAAAGCAAGUUGCUGAACAGUUUCUCAACAUGAGGGGUGGGCUUGGUUUAUCUGGUGCAAAGGCCAAAUACCGUGGAGGUGAAAUCCGAGAACAGAAUGGAGACAGUCUUGUCCAUGCUGCUUUUGUAGCAGAAAGUGCUGUUGUGGGAAGUGCAGAGGCAAAUGCAUUUAGUGUUCUCCAGCAUGUCCUCGGUGCUGGGCCACAUGUCAAGAGGGGCGGCAACACCACCAGCCGUCUGCACCAGGCUGUUGCCAAGGCAACUCAGCAGCCAUUUGAUGUUUCUGCAUUUAAUGCCAGUUACUCAGAUUCUGGACUCUUCGGGAUUUAUACUAUCUCCCAGGCCACAGCUGCUGGAGAUGUUAUCAAGGCUGCCUAUAAUCAAGUAAAAACAAUAGCUCAAGGAAACCUUUCCAACACAGAUGUCCAAGCUGCCAAGUAAGUCUCAGUAUUAACUGUGUUUUAUGUUUUUGUUAUUUGAAAGUUGUAUUCUUUUCAGAUUAUAACAAUAUUACAAUCUAUGCUCAUAAGGACUGAGAAGUACAGAAAAGCAUAAAAAGGGAAACAUACCCAUAUCCUACCACCUAAAGAUAUAAUUGUUAACAUUUUGGCCAGGCACAGUGGCUCACUAAUCCCAGCACUUUGGGAGGCCAAGGCAGGUGUUUCAUUUGAGACCAGGAGUUUGAGACCAGCCUGGGCAACAUAGCAAGACCUCGUCUCCACCAAAAUUAGAGAAUAAUUGUUAACAUUUUUCUUAGUUUAUUGAUCAUGCAUUUUUAAACAUAAUCGUUAAUAUUGUAUAUAUAGAUGCUGCUUGACUUACACUGGGGUUAACGUCCUGAGAAAUCCGUAUAUCGAAAAUGCAUUUAAUACCCUAAUAAACCAGUCACCCAGCCAAACAAACAUAAGUCAAACCAUCAUAAGUUAAGUUAGGGACCAUCUGUAUACUUUUUUAUCUUAUUUAAAUAGCAUCCUUAUUAUAGAAGUUUGAAAAUUACAAAUAAAAGACAAAAAUGAUCUCUGAUUUCCCUAGCAAUAAUUCUGUUUCCAUUGAUUCAAAUUACUAAAAUUUAAACAGUAUUCAUUGGUGUGUCAAAAUACACUUGUGCAUUUUCUGCAGUUAUAAAGAUAUCUUUGGGCUU